AGUUCGAUCCUGGCCUGUGAUUGAACGGGCUGGCGGGAUGUUUUACAUGCACAAGUCGAACGGCAGCACGGACUUCGGUCUGGUGGCGAGGGCGAACGGGUGAGUAAUGCAUCGAACGUGCCUAGUAGCGGGGGAUAACCACGCGAGCGUAGCUAAUACCGCAUACGUCUCUCGGGGGAAAGCGGGGACCCGGCCUCGCACGCAUGAGUGCCGAUAUCGAUUAGCUGGCUGGUGGGCAACGGCUCACCAAGGCGACGAUCCGUAGCUGGUUUGAGGAGGACGACGAAGUCACACUGGGACUGGAGACACGGCCUAGACUCCGCUACGGAGGCAGCAGUGGGGAAUUUUGGAUAAUGGGGAAACCCCUGAUCCAGCCAUCCUGCGCAAAGAGAUGGUGGCCUUUGGUUGUAGUACCUUUGUAAGAAAGAAAUGGGCACGUGGGAUAAUACCCGCGACUGACGGUACCUGCAGAAUAAGCACCGGCUAAUUGCUGUGUCAGCAGCUGCGGUAAUACGUAGGGUGUAUGACCGGAAUUACUAUGAAGCGUGUGCAGGCGGUUCGAAAGAAAGAUGUGAACUUCUAGAGCUUAACUUUGGAACUGCAUUUUUAACUACCGAGCUAGAGUGUGUCAGAGUGGAGGUGGAAUUUAUGGUAGCAGUGAAAUGCGUAGAUAUGCGGAGGAACACCGAUGGUGAAGGCAGCCUCCUGGGAUAACACUGACGCUCAUGCACGAAAGCGUGGAGCAACAGGAUUAGAUACCUUGUAGUCCACGCCCAAACGAUGUCAACUAGCUGUUGGGGCCUUCGGGCCUUGGUGAAGCAGUCAACGUGAAGUUGACCGCCUGGGGAGGCUAUCGCAAGAUUAAAAACUUCAAAGGAAUUGACGGGGACCCCUGUAAGCGGUGGAUGAUGUGGAUUAAUUCGAUGCAACGCGAAACCUUACUCACCUUGAUGAUACAUGUUCGAAUCCCGAAGAGAUUUGGGAGUGCUCGCAAGAGAACCGGAACACAGGUGCUGCAUGGCUGUCGUCAGUUUCGUGUCGUGAGAUGUUGGGUUAAGUCCUGCAACGAGUGCAACCUCGUCAUUAGUUGCUACGAAAGGACACUCUAAUGAGACUGCCGGUGACAAACCGGAGGAAGGUGGGGAUGACGUCAAGUCCUCAGGCGCGGGCCUCAUGGGGUGGUCACACGUCAUACAAUGGUCGGGACAGAGUGGGGGUCGCCAACCCGCGAGGGGGGAGCCAAUCCCAGAAACCUGAUCGUAGUCCGGGAUCGGGUAGUCUUUCUGUAACUCGAUCAGGUGAAGUCGGAAUCGCUAGGACCGUGGAUCAGCAUGUCGCGGUGAAGGCUGUUCCCGGGUCUUGUACACACCGCCCGUCACACCAUGGGAGGCAGUUACCAGAAGGUAGUUAGCCUAACCCGUGGGCGGAGGGCGAUUACCACGGUAGGAUCUACGACUGGGGUGUAGUCGUAACAAGGUAG
rnacentral:rRNA from 1 species